rnacentral:rRNA from 1 species
GGCUAACGCUGGCGGCGUGUCUUAGCCAUGCAAGUCGAGCGGACUUAUGGGGUAACUUAUAAGUCAGCGGCGGACGGCGGAGUAACACGUAGCUAACCUACCCUCUGGACGGGGAUAACCUACCGAAAGGUGGGCUAAUACCCGAUGUAGUCAUCCUGUAUAGGGGUGAUGAAAGGUGGGCUUCUGUUUACAAGCUCAUGCUGGAGGAGGGGGCUGCGGCCUAUCAGGUAGUUGGUAGGGUAAUAGCCUACCAAGCCGAUGACGGGUAGCCGGCCUGAGAGGGUGACCGGCCCGAGGGGCACUGAGAUACGGGUCCCACUCCUACGGGAGGCAGCAGGCUAGAAAUUUGGGCAAUGGGGGAAACCCUGACCCAGUGACGCCGCGUGCAGGAAGGAGCCCUUCGGGGUGUAAACUGCUGUCGUGUAGGGAGAAGGGUACUAAGGUGAACAAUCUUAGUACUUGACGGUACUACAGGAGGAAGCCCAGGCUAACCUCGUGCCAGCAGCCGGGUAAUGCUACGUAGA